UGGGUGUGGCUUCUGGAGUGGGUGUACUCCUGGUAGGAUUGACAGCUGUCUGUCUCUGCAGGAGGUCCAAGAAAACCAAUUCUCAGAGACCUACAUCCAGACAGGAUGAUCACAGACAAUAUGAUUUGGUGUCUAUGGGAGCGGUGAGCAGCGGAGUCAUGGUGAUUAUUCUACAUUACAGUGGAAUCUGUACACAUGUACCCCUCUGACAGAGGAGGCUGGUGGGAUGAGUUAUAGGAGGACAGGCUCAUUGUAAUGGCUGGAAUGGAAUUAAUGGG